rnacentral:sRNA from 1 species
AGGGUUCGAUUCGAGCGCAGCGAGAAAGCGUUGCCGCAGGCAACGACCCGAAGGGCGAAGCGCGCAGCGCUGAGUCAUCCUUCCCCCACCACCA